rnacentral:rRNA from 1 species
AGUGAACGCUGGCGGUAGGCCUAACACAUGCAAGUCGAACGGCAGCACAGUAAGAGCUUGCUCUUACGGGUGGCGAGUGGCGGACGGGUGAGGAAUACAUCGUAAUCUACUUUUUCGUGGGGGAUAACGUAGGGAAACUUACGCUAAUACCGCAUACGACCUACGGUUGAAAGCAGGGGAUCUUCGGACCUUGCGCGAUUGAAUGAGCCGAUGUCGGAUUAGCUAGUUGGCGGGGUAAAGGCCCACCAAUGCGACGAUCCGUAGCUGGUCUGAGAGGAUGAUCAGCCACACUGGAACUGAGACGCGGUCCAGACUCCUACGGGAGGCAGCAGUGGGGAAUAUUGGGCAAUGGGCGCAAGCCUGAUCCAGCCAUACCGCGUGGGUGAAGAAGGCCUUCGGGUUGUAAAGCCCUAUUGUUGGGAAAGAAAAGCAGCAGGUUAAUACCCCGCUGUUCUGACGGUACCCAAAGAAUAAGCACCGGCUAACUUCGUG